rnacentral:rRNA from 1 species
GACAGAGGUGCCGAGCGUUAGGCGGAAUCACUGGGCUUAAAGCGUGUGUAGGCGGACUUCUAAGUACCUUGUGAAUCCCACGGCUUAACCGUGGAACUGCUUGGUAUACUGGUUGUCUUGGGCCAUCUAGGGGCUACCGGAACAAACGGUGGAGCGGUGAAAGUGCGUAGAUAUCGUUUGGAACGCCAAUGGUGAAACGAGGUAGCUGGG